AACGAACGCUAGCGGCGUGUCUGAUUCAUGCAAGUCGAGCGAGAACGCCCGAAAGGGCUAGUAAAGCGGCGAACUGCCGAGUAAUACGCAGGUAAUCUACCCCCGAGACCGGGAUAACCCAUCGAAAGGUGGCCUAAUACCGGAUGUUGCAGCAGGGCGCAUGUCCCGCUGCCAAAGGUUGGGAUCCUUCGGGACCUUCCGCUCAGGGAUGAGCCUGCGGCCUAUUAGCUAGUUGGUGAGGUAACGGCCCACCAAGGCUGAGAUGGGUAGCCGACCUGAGAGGGUGACCGGCCGGACUGGAACUGAGACACUGUCCAGACUCCUACGGAGGCAGCAGAGGAGGAUCAUCGUCAAUGGGCGAAAGCCUGAACGUGCGACGCCGCGUGGGGGACGAAGGCCUUCGGGUCGUAAACCCCUGUCAGGAGCUUCGAAAUCGCUGCCGGUUAAUAGCCGGCAGCGUAGACUCGCUCCAGAGGAAGGGACGGCUAACUUCGUGCCAGCAGCAGCGGUAAUACGGAGGUCCCUAGCGUUGUUCGGAAUUACUGGGCGUAAAGGGCGUCUAGGCGGGAUGUCAAGUCGGGUAUGAAAUGCUCUGGCUCAACUAGAGAAUUGUGCCCGAAACUGGCGUCCUUGAGUGUGGCAGAGGACAGUGGAACUCUUGGUGGAGCGGUGAAAUGCGUAGAUAUCAAGAGGAACGCCGGUGGCGAAAGCGAUUGUCUGGGCCAUUACUGACGCUGAAGCGCGAAAGCUAGGGGAGCAAACGGGAUUAGAUACCCCGGUAGUCCUAGCCGUAAACGAUGAGUACUAAGUAGGGGAGGCUCCGACGCUUUCUCUGCUGUAGCUAACGCGUUAAGUACUCCGCCUGGGGACUACGGUCGCGAGUCUAAAACUCAAAGGAAUUGACGGGGGCUCGCACAAGCGGUGGAGCAUGUGGCUCAAUUCGAGGCAACGCGAAGAACCUUAUCCUGGGCUUGACAUGCAGGUAGUACAAUGCGGAAACGCAAAGGACCUCUUCACGGAGGAGCCUGCACAGGUGCUGCAUGGCUGUCGUCAGCUCGUGUCGUGAGAUGUCGGGUUAAGUCCUCCAACGAGCGAAACCCUUGUCUCUAGUUGCCAACGGGUCAUGCCGGGGACUCUAGAGAGACUGCCGCUGCAAAGCGGAGGAAGGUGGGGAUGACGUCAAGUCCUCAUGGCCCUUAUGCCCAGGGCUGCGCACGUGCUACAAUGGCCGGUACAAAGGGAAGCAAGACCGCGAGGUGGAGCAAAUCCCAAAAAGCCGGUCCCAGUUCGGAUUGGAGGCUGCAACCCGCCUCCAUGAAGCCGGAAUCGCUAGUAAUCGCAGAUCAGCUACGCUGCGGUGAAUAUGUUCCCGAGCCUUGUACACACCGCCCGUCAAGUCAUGAGAGCUGGAGGCACCCGAAGUCGCCUACCCAACCCCUCGGGGAGGGAGGCGCCUAAGGUGAAUCUGGUGAUUGGGACUAAGUCGUAACAAGGCA
rnacentral:rRNA from 1 species